rnacentral:ncRNA from 2 species
AAAUCCUAUACGCAUGGCAGUGCCGCAAGGCCUGACAGGGAAUCUAUAUCGUCAGCCCGCCAAAUGCGCUUUUGACGAUGGAAUCAGAGCAGCCCCCGCUACUGUAUGGAGGACGAGGUUCUGAAGAUGUCACUGGGAGACCGGGAAGACCAGAACUGAGGAUGAAUCCGAGCCAGGAGACCUGCUGUCAUGUGGGAAACAAC